rnacentral:tRNA from 1 species
GGAGUUGGUUGCUCAGUGGUAUAGUGUGUGCUUUGUGUGUAUGAUGUCCUGUGUUCAAUCCCCAACUUCUCCU